AAAAGAAAAUAGUGCAGAAAACUCUCUCUCUCUCUCCAAUUUCUUUGCGUUCUUCACUUUUCUCUCAUCCCUCUCUUUGUCUUCGAAUCCCAGUAGCAAACUAAGGUAAUUUCUCCUAAUCUUUUUCUUGUUUCUUCAAUUUUGAUUGUUGGAGUUCGUAAGGUUUUGCACUUCUCUUCCAUUCUCGUUCUUGUUUGAUGGCUAUGGGCAUUAUAUAUGGAGGUUGAUGGGCUGAGGUUUAGUUGUGUGAGGGAGGAGGAGAGGUCGCCGGCGUACAUCACCGGCGGCGGUGGCGUGGUAGCUGCCGCCAUUUUUNUUUUUUUUUUUAUUUNGUUUUGUCUCCCUGUUUUUUUUACAGCAGCAGGGUCAUAUCUUGUGGACCGUUUUUCAUCUGUUUUCUUUCAUCAAACCCCAUCAAUAUAGGUACCAUUGGAAAGCUAUCGUCGUUGGCUUUCCAACGGUACCUUCGGAUCGUCAAUCCGACACCAGACGACGGAGUUAUGAGCCAAUCAAGUCAGGGUGUCGGGUCUGUGCGGGAUUGUCUGCGCGAGUUUGAGACUAUUUUCCGGCGUCAAAUCGACGCCGUAAGGAAGAAAGAGUUUAGGGGUUUUGUAGUUCAUGUCGUAGAGUUUCAAACCAUAGUUUCUCUUCCGAAAAUCGAAGGUCGGUUUGGCCGGAAUGGACAUCGAGAAGUAGCUCCAUAGGUGUUGAAUAUGAGAUCUAACGUAUGCUUAUUUUGAUUUUUACUUAUGAUUUUUUAUGAUUAACUUGCUGAACCUGAUAUUAUUUUAUUAAGACUUAAUACUCGAGUAAAUUGUAUAAGAAGCUCGUCUCUAAGCUCUAAGUAAAUAAUUAAAUAGUUAGCUCAUAAUGUUCUUAACUAGGAUAUGGAAUAAUUGUAAGAUUAUAUGAAAGUCUAAAAUCUUUUUCACUUGAUAAUUGGAGUGGAUGUAUUUGAUAAGUUUAGUUUAACAUAGUAUUGCUAGUAAUUGAAUUGUUAUAUUAUAACGGUUUAAUUAUAUUAGAGUAGAAAUUCCCUAUGUUUCUAAGAUUUGGGCAUCUUAAAGCUUUAAAUGUAUUGUUUUAAAACGAUCUAAAUUUAUAGAGAUGUUGUGAAAUUGAGUUUAACGCCAUCACACUUAUUCAAGAAAAAAGUAACAACUAAGUCUAAAAUUUUUUCAAGUGCUAGGAGCGGCGCAUCCAAGGCUCCAGGAGGACAACCGAAGCAAACUUGAAGAGGUUUGAAUUUAAUCGCUUAAGGUGAGGUUUACUUUUAUCUGUAAGCAUAAGUUAUUUCAUGAUUAUAAUCAUUGUUGUGUCGUGCGUCAUUCAUAUGAAUGAUGGGCCCACAAGGGGUCAGGUCCACAAGGGACCGAGACUAGUCUCACAAAAUGUUAGCUAAGUGAAAAGAAGAAUUCAAUAUGUUAUGAUUCAUUACACAAUUGGUUAUAACUGCUUGCAGCGUUUACCACACUGAGUGUGUUUGCAUACUCAUACCCUAUUGUUUAUGUUUCUUUCUCAGGUUAAGGAGUUAGCGGCGAGACGACAGACAUGGAGCUCCACACUCUCCCGUUCUAUUAUAUGAUGAAGUAUUAUAUAUUGCUAUUUUUGGUAAAUAUAUUUUGCUACUGACUAACUUAGUCUCUUCUAAUUUUGGUGGGUUGAGACCUUAUAUAUAUUGGUUUAUGAUUAUGCAUUUUGAUGACAACUGUGACCGAAUAUAUAUAUGCGAUCGAAUAUAUAUAUGCUUUGCUUAUCGUAUGUGUAGUUAGGGG
rnacentral:lncRNA from 1 species